rnacentral:rRNA from 1 species
AGGCAGCAGUAGGGAAUAUUGCUCAAUGGGGGAAACCCUGAAGCAGCAACGCCGCGUGGAGGAUGAAGGUUUUCGGAUUGUAAACUCCUUUUGUUAGAGAAGAUAAUGACGGUAUCUAACGAAUAAGCACCGGCUAACUCCGUGCC